GCCUCGAUAGCUCAGUCGGUAGUAGCACGCGGCUGUUAACCGCGGUGUCGUAGGUUCGAGUCCUACUCGGGGCG
rnacentral:tRNA from 1 species